CGGCGUCGAGCGGCGGACGGGUGAGUAAUGCCUGGGAAAUUGCCCUGAUGUGGGGGAUAACCAUUGGAAACGAUGGCUAAUACCGCAUAAUAGCUUCGGCUCAAAGAGGGGGACCUUCGGGCCUCUCGCGUCAGGAUAUGCCCAGGUGGGAUUAGCUAGUUGGUGAGGUAAUGGCUCACCAAGGCGACGAUCCCUAGCUGGUCUGAGAGGAUGAUCAGCCACACUGGAACUGAGACACGGUCCAGACUCCUACGGGAGGCAGCAGUGGGGAAUAUUGCACAAUGGGCGCAAGCCUGAUGCAGCCAUGCCGCGUGUAUGAAGAAGGCCUUCGGGUUGUAAAGUACUUUCAGCAGUGAGGAAGGUGGUAGUGUUAAUAGCACUAUCAUUUGACGUUAGCUGCAGAAGAAGCACCGGCUAACUCCGUGCCAGCAGCCGCGGUAAUACGGAGGGUGCGAGCGUUAAUCGGAAUUACUGGGCGUAAAGCGCAUGCAGGUGGUUUGUUAAGUCAGAUGUGAAAGCCCGGGGCUCAACCUCGGAAUUGCAUUUGAAACUGGCAGACUAGAGUACUGUAGAGGGGGGUAGAAUUUCAGGUGUAGCGGUGAAAUGCGUAGAGAUCUGAAGGAAUACCGGUGGCGAAGGCGGCCCCCUGGACAGAUACUGACACUCAGAUGCGAAAGCGUGGGGAGCAAACAGGAUUAGAUACCCUGGUAGUCCACGCCGUAAACGAUGUCUACUUGGAGGUUGUGGCCUUGAGCCGUGGCUUUCGGAGCUAACGCGUUAAGUAGACCGCCUGGGGAGUACGGUCGCAAGAUUAAAACUCAAAUGAAUUGACGGGGGCCCGCACAAGCGGUGGAGCAUGUGGUUUAAUUCGAUGCAACGCGAAGAACCUUACCUACUCUUGACAUCCAUAGAACUUUCCGGAGAUGGAUUGGUGCCUUCGGGAACUAUGAGACAGGUGCUGCAUGGCUGUCGUCAGCUCGUGUUGUGAAAUGUUGGGUUAAGUCCCGCAACGAGCGCAACCCUUAUCCUUGUUUGCCAGCG
rnacentral:rRNA from 1 species